rnacentral:misc_RNA from 1 species
GAUGAAGAACGUAGCGAAAUGCGAUAAGUAGUGUGAAUUGCAGAAUUCAGUGAAUCAUCGAAUCUUUGAACGCACAUUGCGCCCCUUGGUAUUCCAUGGGGCAUGCCUGUUCGAGCGUCAUUUGUACCUUCAAGCUUUGCUUGGUGUUGGGUGUUUGUCUCGCCUUUGCGUGUAGACUCGCCUUAAAAUAAUUGGCAGCCGGCGUAUUGAUUUCGGAGCGCAGUACAUCUCGCGCUUUGCACUCAUAACGACAGCGUCCAAAAGUACAUUUUACACUCUUGACCUCAGAUCAGGUAGGGAUACCCGCUGAACUUAAGCAUAUCAAUAAGCGGAGGA